CUCAAGGGGGUCGGGUCCCUCAGCCUGGAUUGUGAGAGGGCGCAGGCCAGGCCAAGGGACCCCAGCAGUGCAUG
rnacentral:pre_miRNA from 1 species